rnacentral:rRNA from 1 species
GACGAACGCUGGCGGCGUGCCUAAUACAUGCAAGUCGAGCGAUGACGAAUGGUGCUUGCGCCAAUUUGAAGAGCAGCGAACGGGUGAGUAACGCGUGGGGCAUCUGCCUCUGAGCGGGGGACAACAAUUGGAAACGAAUGCUAAUACCGCAUAAUAACUUUAAACAUAAGAUUCAAGUUUGAAAGAUGCAAUUGCAUCACUCAAAGAUGAUCCCGCGUUGUAUUAGCUAGUUGGUGAGGUAAAGGCUCACCAAGGCGAUGAUACGUAGCCGACCUGAGAGGAUGAUCGGCCACAUUGGGACUGAGACACGGCCCAGACUCCUACGGGAGGCAGCAGUGGGGAAUCUUCGGCAAUGGGCGAAAGUCUGACCGAGCAACGCCGCGUGAGUGAAGAAGGUUUUCGGACCGUAAAGCUCUGUUGGUGGGAAAGAACAGUAGUGGGUGUGGACAGCGCUGUACUGAAGGUAAACAAACAAUAAAGACCCGCCAACCUCCUG